rnacentral:rRNA from 1 species
AUUGAACGCUGGCGGCAGGCCUAACACAUGCAAGUCGAACGAGUGGCGGACGGGUGAGUAAUGUAUGGGGAACUGCCCGAUGGAGGGGGAUAACUACUGGAAACGGUGGCUAAUACCGCAUACCAUCGGAUGUGCCCAGAUGGGAUUAGCUAGUAGGUGGGGUAAAGGCUCACCUAGGCGACGAUCCCUAGCUGGUCUGAGAGGAUGAUCAGCCACACUGGAACUGAGACACGGGCCAGACUCCUACGGGAGGCAGCAGUGGGGAAUAUUGCACAAUGGGCGCAAGCCUGAUGCAGCCAUGCCGCGUGUAUGAAGAAGGCCUUAGGGUUGUAAAGUACUUUCAGCGGGGAGGCGUUACCCGCAGAAGAAGCACCGGCUAACUCCGUGCCAGCAGCCGCGGUAAUAC